CUUACGUCUGAUUAGCUCCAUGGCGGGGUAACGGCCCACCAUGGCGACCAUCAUUAKCCGGUCUGAGAGGAUGAACGGCCACAUUGGGACUGGGAUACRGCCCAUACUCCUACUGSAGGCAKCWGUGGGGAAUAUUGGGCAAUGGGGGAAACCCUGACCCAGCWACGCCKCGUGAAKGAASAAGGCCUUCGGGUUGUAAACUUCUUUUACCAGGGACGAAGAACGUGACGGUACCUGGAGAAAAAGCAACGGCUAACUACGUGCCAGCAGCCGCGGUAAUACGUAGGUUGCAAGCGUUGUCCGGAUUUACUGGGUGUAAAGGGCGUGUAGGCGGAGAUGCAAGUUGGGAGUGAAAUCCCGGGGCUCAACCCCGGAACUGCUUUCAAAACUGUAUCCCUUGAGUGUCGGAGAGGCAAGCGGAAUUCCUAGUGUAGCGGUGAAAUGCGUAGAUAUUAGGAGGAACACCAGUGGCGAAGGCGGCUUGCUGGACGAUAACUGACGCUGAGGCGCGAAAGCGUGGGGAGCAAACAGGAUUAGAUACCCUGGUAGUCCACGCUGUAAACGAUGAAUACUAGGUGUGGGAGGACUGACCCCUUCCGUGCCGCAGUUAACACAAUAAGUAUUCCACCUGGGGAGUACGACCGCAAGGUUGAAACUCAAAGGAAUUGACGGGGGCCCGCACAAGCAGUGGAUUAUGUGGUUUAAUUCGACGCAACGCGAAGAACCUUACCAGGGUUUGACAUCCAACUAACGAAGUAGAGAUACAUUAGGUGCCCUUCGGGGAAAGUUGAGACAGGUGGUGCAUGGUUGUCGUCAGCUCGUGUCGUGAGAUGUUGGGUUAAGUCCCGCAACGAGCGCAACCCCUAUUGUUAGUUGCUACGCAAGAGCACUCUAGCGAGACUGCCGUUGACAAAACGGAGGAAGGCGGGGACGACGUCAAAUCAUCAUGCCCCUUAUAUCCUGGGCUACACACGUAAUACAAUGGUGGUUAACAGAGGGAAGCAAAACCGCGAGGUGGAGCAAAUCCCUAAAAGCCAU
rnacentral:rRNA from 1 species